GUAUAAAUGGUAUACAAUGAAACUGCGAAUGGCUCAUUAAAACAGUUAUAGUUUAUUUGGUAAUCGAAUUUACAUGGAUAACCGUGGUAAUUCUAGAGCUAAUACAUGCUGCAAGCCCGACUUCACGGAAGGGCCGUAUUUAUUAGAUAACAGACCAAUAUUCCUCGUGUCUAUUGUGGUGAAUCAUAGUAACUAAUCGGAUCGCAUGGGACUUUCCCGCGACAAACCAUUCAAGUUUCUGCCCCAUCAGCUUUCGAUGGUAGUGUAUUGGACUACCAUGGCUUUUACGGGUAACGGAGGAUUAGGGUUCGAUUCCGGAGAGGGAGCCUGAGAAACGGCUACCACAUCUAAGGGAGGCAGCAGGCGCGUAAAUUACCCAAUCCUAAUUCAGGGAGGUAGUGACAAGAAAUAACGGAUCGGGGCUCUGCCCUGGGACUGAAAUGAGAUGAAUUUACACCCCUUUUACGAGAAUCAAUUGGAGGGCAAGUCUGGUGCCAGCAGCCGCGGUAAUUCCAGCUCCAAUAGCGUAUAUUAAAGUUGUUGCAGUUAAAAAGCUCGUAGUUGGAUUUCUGGCAGAGGAACUAGGCCCGCAUGUUGCGGUUGCCAAGGUUCUCUACCAUCCUUCUGUUAACCCUCCUAGUUAUUUGUUUAACUGUUGGGAGCCCAGAUAUUUUACCUUGAGAAAAUUAGAGUGUUUCAGGCAGGCUAGCGCCCGGAUACAUUAGCAUGGAAUAAUAGAAUAGGACUUUUACCUCUUCUGUUGGUCUGAGGGGUUAAAGUAAUGAUUAAUAGGGAUAGUUGGGGGCAUUAGUACUUAACUGUCAG
rnacentral:rRNA from 1 species